rnacentral:rRNA from 1 species
GACGAACGCUGGCGGCAUGCCUAAUACAUGCAAGUCGAGCGAACAGAUGAAGUGCUUGCACUUCUGACGUUAGCGGCGAACGGGUGAGUAACACGUAAGUAAUCUACCUAUAAGCGGGGGAUAACAUUCGGAAACGGGUGCUAAUACCGCAUAAUAUCUUCUUCCGCAUGGAAGAAGAUUGAAAGACGGCUCUGCUGUCACUUAUAGAUGACCUUGCGGUGCAUUAGUUAGUUGGUGGGGUAACGGCCUACCAAGACGAUGAUGCAUAGCCGACCUGAGAGGGUGAUCGGCCACAUUGGGACUGAGACACGGCCCAAACUCCUACGGGAGGCAGCAGUAGGGAAUCUUCCGCAAUGGGCGAAAGCCUGACGGAGCAAUGCCGCGUGAGUGAAGAAGGCCUUCGGGUCGUAAAACUCUGUUAUAAGAGAAGAACAAAUUGUAGAGUAACUGCUACAGUCUUGACGGUAUCUAAUCAGAAAGCUACGGCUAACUACGUG